AAUGAAUAUUUCUUAUUAAACAAUAAUAUAGAAAAUGUGUAUGUAUUAAUAUAUAUUUGUGUUUAUAUUACUUUUAUUUUAAAUUAGUAGAAAUAGUUUCACGUUUAAUUAAAGACAUUUUUAGCAUUUUUCAAAAUUAAUAUAUGUAUUUUAAAACGGAUUAUGUAUAUAUUUGCUUUUAUAUAAACACAGACAAUAUGUAAAGGGGACUCGGUGAUAAGACAGUUUAUGUCUUCUUCUUACUCGAGCCUAAACUUAUAUAUGAAGUAUGUUUUUAUUGAAUAUUUAUCAAACGGCAAACUUUCAAACAGGCAAAAAAAUAAAGGAGGAUUAUGUGCAUAAUUUUAAGCAAAAACUUUAUGACGAAAUGGAAGUUGUUUUUUUUUCUGUAAGAUAUUUUGUGAGAUUUUAGAAUAUUAUAACAUGAAAUGAAAUUAAAAUUUAGAGAUAAGUUAAAUAGAAAUUUCACAAUUCCUAUUUUUUCUGUGUAAAAGGAUUGAUUGCAAUGGCUCCAAUUUAAAUGCAGUUAAAAUUCGAAUUACAUAACACUUAUCCGAACAAAAGGCUUGUUGUAACACAUUAUCAAUGUUAUGUUGUAACACAUAAUCAGUUAAGUUACUCUCAUUCCAACAUUUUUCAAAUAUUUUUUCUCAAUACAUUCAUUCCAAUUAAUUUGAUAUUGUGACAUUGCAUUUAAUUUUUUUUCUCUUUAAUUCCUUUGAGAAUUAAAUUCUGUAUAAAAAAUUUAUUUUGAUUUUGAAACAAGUGAAAAACUUUUUUGUUUUAUUUAAAAAUAAGUAACACACAUCUUGGAGUUAAAACGUCAUGUCGAGUUUUCGAAAGCAUAAUUUAGGGUUUCAAGGCAGAAAAAAAGCUGUAGAAAUAGUUUUAAAAGAAUACAAGUACAAACGUACACUGGAAAAUAGUGGCUUCUUUAAAGUUCAAAAAAAAAGGCAUCCAAUAACUCUAGGUUUGACCAAGUAGUCAAGAUGGACCAUGCUACCAACAGCGUUGAUGAACCCUUGAGUUCAAAAGAGACAUCUUCCCCUUCAAACUUUUCAACCAUCGCUGGAGAAGAAGAUGAUAAUUAGAUUUAGGAUCAAGAGGUGAUUCAACUGGAUAA